GGACCGCGGGAGGCCGACGGGGACCCCAGCCGCUGCCGCUGCCCUGUGGCACUCAGCAAAGUUCAAGGGCGCUGGAAGUCUUCUGCUGGAGUUCUCAUCUCUGUCACCCCUCUUCUCUUGACUUCAGGAUUCCAGCUGGAGAGGAAUGCACUCUAAGAGCAAGGGGCAGCGUCAAGGGCCCCAAGACCGUGGACCCCGCCUGGGAACAGCUGGCCUCAGAAAGCCAGGCAUGAGAUCGGAGACUCAGGAGCAUGUCCUAAAUCUGCAGCCACUCAUCUUGGAAGCAUAUUUCCGUCUCUGAGGAUUUCCCUGGGAGACUGUCAUGUAACCUCUUACUUGCUGAUGUAGAAGAAUUCAGAACUCAAUUUCUCAGCCCAACUGCUCGUACUGUCUUGUCCUUUGGUGAAUAUUAUAGCAGAGACAGCUGGAACUUUGGGAAUAGUGACAGCUGAGCUCACACAACUGAAGGGACAGUAGCAUGUUUGCUAAACAUUCCCCAAAACAUAGCUAUCUCCCAUGUGCAUCCUUAUCUCUGAACCCUGAAUUAUGUUGUGCGUGUGUGGUUGUGCAUAUACACUCCCAUUCUUGUAUCAAAGUAAACAACAACAGCAGCCUGACCACAGAGAAAGAGGAUCCAGAAGUCCUGAAGAGACCAGAUAGGAUAGGGUCAGAUAGUAGGGGAGGAGGACAACCCCUCUCAGUGGACUAGGGGUAGGACAUGGGGAGAGGAGUGAGAAAGGGUGGGACUGGGAGAAGAUGAGGGAGGGGUCUACAGCUGGGAUAUGAAGUGAAUUAAUUGUAAUAAUAAUAAUAAGGAAAAAAUAAAAUAAAAUCUUCUAUUGGUAAAAAAAAAAAAAAAAAAAACAACAACAGGAACCUAGGGAGAUGGCACAGUGGGUAGUGUUCUCAGAGGAAUUGAGUUUGGACUCAUGUAAAAAGGUGUGUACGGUGGUACAGGACUGUAGUCUCAGCACCAACAGGUGGAGACAGGAGCGGCUAGGCUCCAAGCCAAUCAGUGAGCUUCAGGUUCCAUGAGACACCUAUUUCCAAUAAAUAAAUAAAUGAAUAUAUUUUAAAAAAUGGAGGGACUGGAGAGAUGGCUCAGUGAUUAAAAUCACCUGCUGUUCUUGCAGAAAACCUGAAUUUAGUUUGCAGCACCCACAUGGUGGCUUCUGGCCAUUUGUAACUCCAGUUUUAGGGGAUCCAACAUCCAGCAUCCUCUUCUGGCCUCCCUGCGGUGGUUUGAAUGUGAAUUGCUCCCAUAGGCUUGUAUGUUUAAAUACUCAGCUAGUGGAACUAUUUGGAAAGGAUUAGGAGGUGUGGCCUUGUUGGAAGAAGUGUGUCACUGGGAGCAGGCUUUGAGGUCUCAAAAGUUCACACCAGCCUUUGUCUCUCUCUGUAUCUGUCCACUACCUACAAAUCAAGCUGUAGCUCUCAACUACUUCUCCAACACCCUGCCUGCCUGCUGUCAUGUUCCCAGCCAUGAUGACAAUGGACCAACCCUGUGAGACUGUAAGAAA